UAUUUGCGUUUAGAAAAGGAUUCCGUGCUUUUCGACGGUUGUAGCCGCCCUUUAGUGCGAGCGUGCUGCGUUGUGUAACCGGCACCGCACAAUCAUUUCAACGCCGCGGAAGAAUGAGAGACGGAACACCGCCCAGACCGGACCAUAUGUCUUUAGAUGGCAGUUUGCCUAUGUUCACAAAAAAGAACCGCCAGGGUCAGCGUCAACUCUAUCCUCGACCACCGCCGUUACCACGAAACAGGAGGAAGCACCGUUCAACUGAACCUACACAUGCUCGGGCAGUCAGCUUUUGUGGUUCCGAAUCCUGUAUCCUUCAUGCUUUCAUUGGUGGUUUUGUGUCGUUAGAGCACUGCAGACAGAAUUCUCCUUCUUCGGACGGGGCCAGCCUGAAAACGCUAUGCUCCAGACCACACGGUGCGGUGUUUUGAACUCAUGCCCGUACCUCGCCCGGCCCGGCCCGUUUCAGCCAAAAAUGCCUUGAGAAUAAAUGAGGCACUGUCGAAUCGUCA